GGGAAUAUCUGUAAUAUUCAUGUAUUCAUUACAAUAUGUAUUAUAUAUUAUGCAAUAUAUAGUAUAUAAUGUUAUAAUGAACGCGUGAUGAACUCCUACAAUAUUCUAGGCACUGAGUUAAAAGAGUGAUCCAAAUAGGCAAAAAUCUUUAUCCUCGUAACAUUCUGUAUUAGGCAGGGUUUCCAGAGAGACAGAACCAGUGGAGAUAUGUAUGCACACACACACACACACACACACACACACACACACACACACACACACACAGAGACAUAGAUAGAUAUGGAUAUAGAUGUAUGAGAGGGGAUUAAUUAGGGGGAUUGGCUCAUGUGAUAAUGGAGGCUAAGUUCUAUGAGAGUCCAUCUGUAAGCUGGAGAAGGAGGGAUGCCGGUAGCAUGGGUCAAUUCAAGUUCAAAAGCCUCAAAACCAGAGGAGACUAUGGUAUAACUCUCAGUCUGUGGCCAGAGGACUCUCAGACAGAGAGAGGGAGAGAGAGAGAGAGAGAGAGAGAGAGAGAGAGAGAAUUUGCUUUCCUUCUGCCUUUUUGUUCUAUCUGGGUCCCUCUCUAGGUGUAUGGUGCCCACCCACAUUGGAUGAAGAUGAAUCUUCCUUACUUAGCCCACUGACUCAAAUGUCAGUCUCUUCCGAAACACCCUCACUAACAUACCCAGAAAUAAUGCUUUUUCACCUAUCUGGGUAUCUCUUAAUCCAGUCAAGUUAGCACCUAAAAUUAAGCAUUGUAUAUUCUAGUGGGGAUGUUGCACUUAAAACGGUCUAACAUAUCACACAUUAUGCAUGUUUUCCUUGAUUAUUAUCAAGCGCUAAGCAGAAAAAUAAUGCAAUUGAAGGAUCAAUAAAUUGUACAGGUGGUGGUGGGUUCCAAGAAGGCCUCACUAGGGAGAGACAACCUCUGGAUAAAGUCCUGAAGGAAUUUUAGAUUUGUUACCUGGUAUUUUAACUUGCAGGAAGGCAAGAAAGAUGGAGAAGAAGUUUGACUGAUUGCCACAAACUCUGAUAACUACUCUUUGUGAUUUAAAAACCCACUAUGAACUGUAGGAAGAAUGUAAUUUGAAAUACACAAUUAUAAAUGCAGAUUUGUUAAGCAUAGAAGUAGCCUGUUUAAAACUAUUUAAGAGUGAAUCAAAAGUCGUGAUGUAAAUGGACCCCAUCUCAAACUUCCCUUCACUCCAUCACGCCUGUACCAUAAGAGGAAAAACACUACCUCCACCCUUUACUGUUGUUAAUUGUAUGCAUAUAUCCCAUCUUCCUUCUGAAAUUCCAUUUUUCUGAAUACUGUCUUACAGCAGUUUUUUUUUAUUGUACAAUGUAACAUCCUUAAACAUGACUUAAAAUUGAACUGAAGAGCUGCUGUGUCAGGCAUGUUGUCUGAAUUGCUGGACAUGGAGCUAUCUCCCUGGUUUAGAGGAAUUCCAUUCUAGUUGGGAGCAUAAAACAUUCACGCAGAGAAAGUGGUAGUAUGCUGACCUGUUUAAUAAAACAUGCGCACACACACACACACCAUACCUAAAUUAGUAAUUGUCAAAUAAUUAGAGUAAUUUAAUAUAUAUCCUGUUAAACUUAUUAUAUAAUUGGAUUUUUCUGAGACAGGGUCACCCUGUCUCUGUCUCCCAAGAUGCAGGCUGGAGUGCAGUUGUGGGGUCAUAGCUUACAGCAGCCUCCAACUCCUGGGCUCAAGUGAUCCUCCCACCUCAGUCUCCCAACGAGCUGGGACUACAGAUGCAUGCCACCACCCUCAACUAAUUUAUUUUUAUUUUUAUCUUUGUAGAGAUAGGGUCUUGCCAUGUUUCCCAGGCUGGUCGUGAACUCCUAGGCUCAAGCUAUCCUCCUGCCUUGGACUCCCAAGUAGCUGAGAUUACAAGUGUCAGCCACCACACCCAGUCUAGAAUUGGAUUUUGUAAAAAAUAUUUAAGGAUUCUUUGGAGGCUUGAGCUCAUGCCCAUGGUUGACAUUUGAGGAAGAUGAGACUUACGGAGAUGAAGUUAUUUUCCCUUAGCCCCAGGGAUAGUCAGUGGCACAACUGACCCUUGAACCCAGGACUUGUAAACAUGGGUACUAUUUUGUUCAAGGCUGUCUUGAUAAUUUAGCAGGUGCAUUUGAGGUCUUAGGUUUUCAUUUUUAGCUGUAUUUAUUACUGAGACAUGGAGUUACUGACAUGGCUGUAAGUAAGCAUCACCUUUUAUUAGAUGCCGAUGCCAGAGUUGACUUUGUUUGCACUUUAUACUUAUAUUGUGAGAUGUUUGGUGACCAUCCUUUAUGGUAUUUUACAACUUAGUAGUUCACAUUUUGUUGUUUACUGACCUAAAAAAAUCAUAGCUAACAUCUGAAGCAAAGAUGAAAGCACAUUUUCUUUUAUCACACAUCUCUGCUUUUACUCACAGAACUCUUUAAAUUAAGUCAUUAACAUAUGCAAACACUUCUUUUCCCAAAGUGUUUUUCUACUCUGCAAUUAUUAUGUUGUUUUUGGUAAGAUAAAUAAGCCCUACAUUAAAACGCCAGAUAUUAAAAUGAGAAACAGUAGCACUUUAUAAAAUAUUAGAAAGCUUUGAAAAACACAAAUAAAUAGAAAGCAUCCCCUUGUGGCUUCAGGCAGUGCAUGUUAAAGAGUUUGUCCCCCUGUACUCUGUCUUCCCGUGGGCUGAGUACUGGGAUGUGGCAAAGUCUCCCCUGGAAUUGACUGGCAGACCACUUUGCUGGGGGUGGAUGGGGAAAGAGAGGCUUCUGCAUUCUUUUGUCCUGAUCAAACCAAAGCAGUUUCUCCAGCUGUGAGGUCAAGUUUCUAGCCUUUUAGUAAAAUUAAAUUGUUUGCUUUGUCUGAUAUCAGUUCGGGUUUCAGACAGAGGGAAAUAACAGUGGGAAAGCAGCCUGUGUGGGGAACGCAAGCAAAUGUGCUGUGGGCUCUCAGACGAAUAGUGAAUCAUUCUGGGGAUCUCAAAUGCUCACUUAACAUGCAGAGCUUGGUAACCAGCUUAAGAUAGAUGACCUGUCACUUUCAAGAACAUGUCAACUGUUUGUUGCAGGGGAAUAUUUCCUAGUCGGUUCAUGGGAUUCUUAAUAAAGAUGUUGGAACCAGCAGUCCUGCUGUGUUUCGGCUUCUAACCAGAAGCUGAAUAAAGGUCAGAAGGGUUACUGCCCCUCUCAAAUGGAUCCCAGAAUCUCUCACUUUGGAUAGUGGUUGUGGUUUUAUCUGCUUUGGUGUUUGUUGUUAUUAUUUUCUGUCUUCUUAGUGCUUCUGAGUUGCUCAGAUUUGGCAAAUUUUGAAUAGACAUAUGUAUGAACCCCAAAUAAUUGUACUGAGAAAUGCAGAAAAUAUUGAGCAAGACGCUGCUGAAUUUCCAUGAGUAAGCAAAUAUAUUCUAAGAGCUCACAGGUGAAAAUUUCUUUUUAUUUAAUAUGUCAUUUUUAUUGGAAGGUAAUGAUUAUGUCCAGGCCAUAAAUACAGUGUAAAUUCUCUUCAAUAGACAUUAAAAAGAUGACUUUCAAUUGGAAGCAGCUUUUUAAAGGGCUUAAAGGAUACUGAGGUAUAAAUUUUCAGACCUGUACAGUCUGUACGUGUAAGACUAGGAAGAAAUGAGUGAAACCCAAUACAGGCUCAUGCAUGGGAACACAUGUUUAUGACCAUAAGCUGUAGUUUCACAAAACAUGUUGAAGAAGGACAUAUAAUGGACAUAUAAUGGCUAAGAGUUUUAAAUGUAUUGUUGUGUGUGUUAUUUUAUAGUUAUAUAAAAAUAUCCAAUGGGUUAUCAGCCCUAUCAUCAUUUUUCAAAUGAGGAUACUGAGGUGUGGGAUAAUUUCUUAAAAAUAGAGCUGUGCUUCACAAAUACCCAGGAAAUAAACACUUGUUCAGUCACUAAGUUCUGACUCCGUGUUGUGUAUUUUGUCUGUAUUAAGAUUCUGUUCAGCUGCCCAGAUAAAAAGUGAUAAAAGUUUUCUAGCUGAUAUUCCUACUAUAAGAUAUCUUACUGUCUGUUUCCAACUAGCUCUGAAGGGUCAGCUAGUUUUAUUAGAAUCAUUGAGCAUGCCCAGGAUGUGGUUGUAUAGGCUCAGCUUAAAUUUACAUCAAUUGGCAAUACUUUCUCUUGGUUCAGGAUCAGCUGUAUAUUCCUCUCAUUCCUUAUUUCUGCCUGAUUGUAGGCUCCUUGAAGGCAGGAUUUAUUUCUGAUGCACUAUUGGGUCCUGUGUCUGGCUUAGUCAGAACCUGGCAUAUGAUCACUGCUCAGUAGGUAUUUUUGGAAGGAAAGGAAAAGAAAGAAGGGCUAGCUAUGUAGAUGCAACAGCAGCUCAGCGUCUAUCUCUGAUUCCUUUCCAAAGGUUAAAUUAGAUGAGGAAGACAUGUUUUCUGGGCAUCAGCUUUACCUCCGAGUACAUGGGGGAUCUGUUCCAGUAUCUUUGUUCUUUUGUGGUUCAAAGCUUUGAAUAAUGUAUGUUUUGAUGAACAAAAUGGACACUGUGGCUCUAUGAAGAACUUAACUACAAACACUGCAGUUUGUGUCAUUUUUUUCAGCCAUUUAAGGUGGUGUCAAAAAUUACAGUAGCUUACAUUUUUAAAAAUAUUUGACUUUUAAAUAAUGUUCACUGUGUCAUUGACCCUAGGAAAGAUUUUAGCUUACAUUUAUGGCUUCUUACUGCUACUGCAAUAGAGCCAACAACCACAGAUCUGCCCAUCACUUUCUUAUAAAUGUGGUUAUUUCAGAUUUCCAGUGUGUUCUGGUCACCUGGCUUGCUCUUCUCUUAAAAUGUGUUUAAUGCUCUCUUGGCCAGUGGUUAGGCUCAUACUUCUUAUAUUUCUAUUAUCCAGGAGACUUUAUCAUCAAGAUAGUUAUAAUCUUUCUUCUAUUUUUCAUUAAGAUCUUAUAAGCCUAUUAUUGGUGACUGAAGCUCACCAAGACCUCCAUACCCUUGCCUCUCUUCAGCAGGUGCUAUCUCUUAUACCCCAGUUGGAAAUGUAGGUUCAUUUCAGACAGCAGUUUUCACAUAAGGCAUUACAUACUAUUUUAACUCUAUCAAGGGCCUUGAUUUUCACCAUCCUCUUAAAGAUUUUUAAAAAUAUCUUCAUUCUGAAGUCUCCGAAUUUUUAUUUUAUAUGCAUUGACUUCUUCUGUUAUUUCCUUGCAAAAAUACUUUGGUGUUUGUCUUAGUCCAUUGGGAUUGCUAUAACAGAAUACCAUAAGCUGAGCAGCUUAUAAAUAACAGAAAUGUAUUUCUCACAUUACUAGAGGCUUGGAAGUCUAAGUGCAAGGAGCCGACAGAUUCAGUGCCUGGUGAGGACCUGCUUUCUCAUUCAUGGAUGGUGCUUUCUGGUUAUGUUUUUACAUGGUGGAAGGGAUGAAGCGUUUUUCUCAGGUUGCUUUUAUAAGGGCACUAAUCCCAUUACUGAGGACUGCUGCCCUGUGAUCUAAUCACUUUCCAAAGGCCCUGCUUCCUAAUAUUAUCACCUUGGGGGUUACGAAUUCGACAUAGGAAAUUUGGGUGCACAAAACGUUCAGACAAUAGCAAUGUUUUUCCAAUUUAGAUCUUUGGCCUUGUCAUCAUACCCCCUGCCACUCCUCUCUCCAUAUGCUUUCUGUAAGAAACACUUUUCCAACCUCUUUAAAAAUAUUCUGUUUUCCUCCUUCAGCUUGGAAAACCAAGUUUUAAGCUUGUUCCACAAGUGAUUUUGUGCUUUAUAAUAAGUGAGUUAUUUUACAUAUAGCACAAAGCACAUUGCCUAGAUUCUUAUAUAUUUAUUUCACUUUUCUCGAUCCAAAAUACGUUCAUAAAUUUGAACCACAAAAGCAUUAAAGUGUCAAACAUUUCUGUAUUUGCCAAGCCAUAGCUUUGUUUCUCUUCUGGAAGGUAGCAGAAGUUACUUUUGAUGGAGUUAUCUUUUUUGACUGGACCAGGAAAAAGGUCCCCAUGAUGAUGAGCAGGAAAACAUCUUUUCUAUCUAUACCAGGCAGUUCUAAGGUAAGCCAGACCAAAGCCGAUGAUUCUGUCCCUGCCUCCACCAAAAUCACUGUUGGAUUGUAGAUGAGAAAAAAAAUGACUUAAACCUUGGACUGGGACAAUUCAUUUUCUGACAGCUGGAGGCUCUUAUGAACAAGUGAGACCAAUAUUUGUGGGUUAUCUUGGAUUUGGCAUACUCAUCUCUUCACAGUCAGGAGCAGAGUCUUCAGAGAUGUGAUCAAAAACAUCAUUAAGUACUAGGGGGAAAAAUCCAUCUUUUUACAUUUGGGUUUGAACUUUAUGUUUGUCACUGUUUCAGAAUUGCUGAAAUUACUAGAACAGGGUCUUUGGAGUGGAAGAAUUUUGGUUUCUUCAUUCUAUCCAAAUAAGUACAAAAGAAGGUCAACAAGGAAUCAGGCCAUAGUCUGGAAGACUGAUAUCCCAGAGUGGCUGUGAGGUAGAUAAGGUAAAAAAUCAACCUAAAGGGACUGGUUAGGUUCUGAGCUGGAAGAAUGUUUGGAGGAAGUAACCGUGAGAGACAAGAUGGAUAGUUCUCUUGCUUGAUGAUGUCGUUGAGUCAGAAUGCCAUCAUGCAGACUGAUUCGUGUGUGUGUGUGUGUGUGUGUGUUCAAUGAAGGAUAAUUGAUGUUACGUUUUAUAACAGGGAUUUUGUGUGAGGAAGGUUAAAUUUGAAAACAAAUGCGAAUGUACUCACCACAUGACCGAGUGUCUCCCACCUUCAAGAUUCCCAUUUGCAGUUGACCUUUGACAUUCCUUGUGCCUCUUGCUAAUGCUUGGAGUGAACACUUUGGACCUGUUGCCUUGCUGAUAAAAUAUGGACAUCUACCUCAAGAAAAUGCCUAGGAACAUAUACAAGACUUCAAACAUAGUGAACAUUCAAUAAACGAUUGUUGAAAAAGACAUUGAAUGAAUGCAUACAUGAAACGUUUCCCAUGUAGUAUAAAGUUGUUCAUGUAUCUGGUCCCUAGUUCAUUGCCUACUGCAAUCAUAAAAGCAUAAAGGAACUUCACCCAGUGUGUGAGCAAUAAGUACGUUAUAAAUGUUAGUUAUUAUUAUUGCCUGACGCAUCAUUAAUAUUCAUUAGAUAGUUGUUGAAUGAAUGGAUGUCAGUCACUGCCCUUGGGUAGUUUAAACUUGAGAGAAGACAAGAGAAGAUUCAUGAAACAAUAAAUAAGUGGUGAGCCAUUUGGUACUCAGUUUGAGGGGAGAGCUCCCCAGGGGCUGUUAUAUUUGGGGAUUUCCUUGGAAUGUUCAGCUGAUUAAACUGCUCCCAUUACAGCUUGAGUGACACUGGGUAACAGAUCUGGGACCGGAUCCUACAUCAUCCCACCACGUAAGUGGACUAUAUCAUGCCUUCAUUCAUUCAUCUUUUCCCAUUCCUUUUCAACAAUGCUUACUGAGUGGCAGGAGCUGUGUGGGAUUCUAGACAGCCAAAGACGUUUGCUGUCGCCACCGUCUUGUUAGGAGAUCUGUGGCUCAGAGGGGAUUCAUAAUGUACUGUGAUAAAUGCUAUGAGCCAGCAAUGCCCAAGGAUUAUGGGAGCUAGUGUGUGUGUGUGUGUGUGUGUGUGUAAGUGUAACAGAGGGAAGGAACGUCAGAGCGUCCUUUCCACAAGGAGGUCCAGUUGGAACCAGGUCCAAAUAGAGAAAUAGGUAUUAUUCUAAACCAGGAACACAAGAGUAGCAUUUGCAAAGAUUAGGCAGAAUGAGAAAACUGGGAGGUGCAUACAGCAUGGCUAGAGCUCUGAGCUGCAGAGAGGCACGAAGGUUCUUUCUUUUAGUGGUGAGUGGGAGUGGUUACAUUAAAUGGUUUUAGAGCUGGGAGUGACAAGAUCAAAUCUGCAUUUUGGAAAACUAGCCAAAAUCUGUGUGUGUUGCAGGGUGAAGGAAAAGGUGGUGGGAUAGACUGGGGCCAGGAACACUAGUUGUUGGAAACCAGAAAGAAGGGACUGAAGUAAGGGUAGGGGAGAAGGGAUGAAUUGAAGCACCCAACUCAAGAUAUUAGGGAGGGACAGUUCACAGAAUUUGUUAACCAGUGAUUGUGUCUGUGUCUGUGUGGCUGGAUGUAGGGGUAAGUGACUAAGAAGGAAUUAAUGAUGCUUCUUACGUUUCUGGCUUGUCGUGGUGUGCAUGGAAUGGUGAGACCUUUUAUCUAGAUUAAAAAUAUAGGAGACAGAGAAAGGUUAAGGCGAGAAGAUCCUAUAAGUGGAUUUUGAUGAGCCAUUGACACAUCAGGCAGAGCUUCUGAAUGGGAGUGGUGCUGAGGAGGAACAGCAGUGGAGGAGAAGCUGGGAAGCAUGGAUUUCUUCAUGCAGAUCAUCUCCUACUUGGGUCAAUAGAUAGCUCUUGAUUUUAAGUAGCUUCAAGAGCUAAGUUCUAUCUUCUUACAGUAAUUGUCCUGUCAAUACUGAACCAUGGUAUACUGUCCUUGUUCUAAAUACAGUACAAAGAUCUUUUCUGGCGCAGGGACUUAAUCUGAGCCACUAAUUUCCAUUUUGGGGCUUUUGGCCAGGCUAUUUGAGGCAGCAUUUAGAAGCAGAGAAAAGUAGAUUAGCACUGACUAUCAUUUUUUUAUGUUUAGACUCCAAGCUGAUAAAGCCAUGACAUUUUUAUUAUUUCAGCAUGGUUUUGUGGAUGUGUCACAAUUAUUUAUAUAGUUUUUUUUUUAGGUAAAGGAAAUUAAAUUAUUUGAGGAACUGUGCCCUCACCUUGUGGCUGAAUCUAUCUGGUGCUGCUCUUCCUUCUCCUUUCCCUCACUCCCUUACAUGGUCAGGUCAUUUUAAAUAUGUCCAGUCUUCAGAGGAGAUGCCUCCUGAUCUCCCAACCAUCACUGAGGGGUGGAAGGUAGUGCUUAUUCCUCAUUUGUUUGAUAGUGCUCAACACCUUGUGUUAAGAUCUUUCCUGGAAGAGAAAUGGUAGGGAAGCAAUAUGCAAAAGAUGAAGACAUGGCUAUAAUUUAAUUCUUAAUUGUUCUAAAGUGACGUAUUUCAGACAUAGCAGGAUAAAGACUUGGGUACAUGUUUCAACAGAAUUUAUUUAGGAUUUAAUAUUUUAUACCAGAUGUUAGGAUUUCCUUGUGGAGGGAUAAGGGAUUGCAUGUAUAUAAGCAACAGGGCCUGGUAGUUCUGACCUGAAGAAGCUUAUUCAUUUCCUGGGGAAGAUGGAUUUUCAAGGAAAUAUAUGCAAAUCAAUGAGAAAAGUACUAUAAUAAAAGAAUAUCCAAAAUAGUAUGGAGAUUCAGAGCAUAACUGCCUGGAAAAUGCUAAGAAAUUCUUUACAGAAGAAUGCUUCGUGGGAAGUCUAUAGGCUUGUCUGUCUUGUUUGGACCAGAUGGCAGACUUGUUGAAGGUCAUGUCCCUUUCCCUGAACUGGACUUUCUUUCCAUUUUAUCUGUGCUGCUUCAAAUGCAUUUGUUGCUUGGCUUUCUAUGGCAGUUUCUUAGGCAUAAGUCUUUUUCCUAUACUCUCCUGGAACAUCUUCAGGGCAAGACCCCUGUUUGUUCAGCUCUCCAUCCCCUGCCAUACCCAGUAGGUGCCAUAGCACACAUGAAAUCUUACAUUUUAUUCUCAGAACAGCACUGUAACAUUGAUGUUAUUAUUAGCACCAUUUUUAAAGGUAAGAAAACUAACACACAGAGCAUUGAAAACUUUUCUCAAGGUGUCUCAGUCAGUUUGGGCUGCUUUAACAAAAUGCCAUAGACUGGGUGGCUUAAACAACAGAAAAUGGAUUUCUCACAGUUCUGGAAACUAGGAAGUCUAAGACCAGCUCGUAGAUGAGUUUCUUGGGAACCUGGCUUUUGCCCAUAACGGACCUAACAAUGGUGACUACUGUUUUCUGUCCUGAUGUCAGGCUAAGUAUUCAUAAACACCUUGACUUGAUGUUUACAACUUCAUAAGGUAGAUUAUUUGUAUUCUUGUUUAAAGGUAAGAAAAUAAGUUGGCAAAUUUACAAGUUUGGAGGAAAAGGCUUACAUGCAAGGAAAGUUAAACAAAAAUAGAUUUAAAUGGUAAAGACUAAUGAUAUUAGAAUAUCUUAAGGCAGAACGGACCUAGUUGCCAGAUGCCUGGUACUUAACAAUAACUACCAUUUAUUGUGUUGUAUGGAUGUGGCUUAUUUUUGGUGAAGCACUUUACAAUAAUCUUCACAGUAGCAGUUAGAAGUGAGGAAAAUGGACUUUUCCUUUUACUGAUAAUAAAAUAGAGGCACAGAGAAGGUAAUUGCUGAUGAUCACAUGAGCGUCAGGGUACGUGUCAGGUCUGUUUCCACUAUUUAUUCCCUUAAAUACUAUGGAAUUAGAGCAACGUAACACACUGAGAUGUUAAACCUGGAGUUUUUCUUUUUUACCCUGUCUUAUGUAUGGUCUCUGUCUAAUCAACCAGUGUCUUCACAUUACCUUGUGGAAAAUCAGGGGCAUUUUAGGCAGGAGCACAGUAGGUGGGAGGCACGUCUGUAGAAAAGCAGUGGAAGCAAAAGAAAAAAGCCUGUUUUUUUUUUUUUUAAACUUUCAAAAUAGACUCUUGAAGUCCACAUCAAAAAUGACAGUUUUAAAAGCAAAGUUUUUGAUCUUAAGAGCUAAGUUUUGUUGAGAGAAGAAAGGGCUCCUGAAAUAAAAAAUAAAGUUCUUGUAAAGUCAGGAAUAGAGUUUAUGCCAUAAUAGAUUAGGAAAAAGACUAAAGGAAGAUCUAAAAGCUUUCCUCCCUAUAUAAUCCUCCCAAGACUAGGAUCCUUAGGCUGGUAGACAAGGAGAGUUAGGUAGGACUUGAGUAGGGAGCAGUCUCUUGGGCUGCUGUGAUGGGACUGGGCCUGGGCUAACCCACAGGGAGAGAAGCAAAGCAAGUAUGGAGAGUUUGUCCAGCACUAGCCAUGACCAUCUCAGGGCACCCAGCCUAAACCUAUUCUCCUUCACUUUUGAAAUGAACAUCUGAAGUCACUGGGGUCAAGGAGCCAUAGUGGUUGCUCACCAUCACUUACCAUGCCUUCCGAGGAUGGAUGUCUGCCUGCUGCUAAUGGAUUGACCACUAGAAUCCAUAGUCCUCCCAGUGCCCCAAGAUUGUGCUGAGCUUUGACGUGAACCACUAAGUUUGGGCAUUCUCCUUUUUCUAUAAGGAGAAUGAGGAACAGGAUUGCCCUGCAAAGAAAACCAGUUCUUGUCUGAGUGAGAAUGACUAUUCAAAAGGAGAAGUGAAGAAUACUCUAAUAUGGCCUCCUGGAGCAGGAAUGACCAAAACAGGACCUCCAGGAAUGGGUAGAAGCUGGGAGGACUGAGGGUGAGAGGAGCCUGAGAGGUCUGGGAGCAGGGUGAGCAAAAAUGUAGUCCUGGAGAAGCACAGUUAGAGUUGAACAAGUGCUUCUUCAAUCUUGUGGUUCUGGAUUGGGGCCACAUUCUGGCAAAAGAGCCUUUGAAUGGCAGAUUAGGGUUUAGACAUCAGCUUGUGGGCAGUGGGAAGCCAUCAAAGCUGUCUUUUGUUUGCCUGUUGAUUUGUAUGACUUGAUAAAAUCCUCUACUGAGCAUUUCUCAUAGUACCCACUUAAUUUUUAAAAACAACUCCAGAGAAGUUAACAACUCCAAGUAGCCUAAGGCUGUGUAACUGAGAAGAGGUAGAAGUCAGCAGAUUUGAUUUUAUAUCCAAGUGAGACAAAAUUGUGUGCUUGUUCAAACCUUUCACUCUGUCUUCUGUUCCCUCCCCGAUGUUUGAUAAUGCCAGAGCCCAGAGUGGACAGACUCUAAGUGGUAUCUAGGGGACAGACCAUCGAAGACCCAGAUGUGUUCCUGCAACCUUGCCAAUAAGUAUAAGUCCCUGACAGCCCCACCUCCCCAAGUGUUUCUAGCUUGUUUAUUCCCAGGUUAGGUGUCCCCUUGUUCUCCUAAUUUCUACCUCUCUGGGAAGCAAAAUGAGUGUCAAUCACCCCUAAGCCUUGGCCCCAAUGCUGCAGGCAAAUAGUUCUUUAUCUCAAACUCUUAGUUCCUAGGUCUGUACUUUACACAGGAUCAGUGUGUGUAAUCUUUUGUUCUUUUGUCUUCACAGUAACUUAAUUCCUGUGGUAAGGGAGGAUCAUGUGUAUUCUUAAGUGUGGGUCCUUAUUAUUUGUAUGUAGUUUGCAUCUGUAUUCUGUCAGCUCAUUAGUUUGUCCACUUUUCACUCAGUUAAUGACAAAUGUGGAGUAUGCAAAUGUUUGACAUUCAAAACAGACAGCUCUGCAGUUCUGUGCUUUUAGAUCAUUUACUCAUUUCUUCUUAGAGAUUUAUCUAAAUUAGCAUGACAGUGGCCAUGUUUCCUCAUAGUUGUACGUGUCCUUUAUGGAGUUAUAUUUGGCACCCCAGAAUUAGGAAUGAGAUCGUUAACAUCAACAAUUCAUUGAGAUAAACAGGACCAGUGUCCUUGUGCUCUUUUCAUAGAUGAGGAAUCCACAAUACCCAAGAGUUGCACUACUGUCUGGUGAGGUGGUGGUGGUGGCUCAGAAUGCUCACUUGUGUUCAUUCCUUUGGCAUUCAGCUUUACACUCAGGGUAGAAGCAGCUAUGAUUUCUCCCAUAAGAACAGCCAGGUCUGUGCUGGUUUAUCACAUGCAGUUCUGUGCUUUUAGGUCAUUUACUCAUUGGCCAGUUCAUGUCUCUGGGGAGACAUGCACGCACGCACACAUGUUAUAUUCCAGCCAAAUCGAACCAUGCUUAUUUUCCAGAAUGUUCCAUACAUUUUCCUACCUCUAAGUAUCUGCAGACAUUGUUGUUCUUGUUAAUAGUAUUACAAAAUAAUAAUAAUGAUAAAAAUAGCUAUCAAUUAUUGAGUGCUAAUAUCUUAACUCACAUUUUCUUAUUUAGUGUUACUAUUUUCAUGUUUAAGAGAUGAAGAAAUAAGGUUUGGGGCAUUUGGUGAGCCAGGACGUAUUUCUGUCUCACUCUAAAGCUGCUCCCGCUGCCUCAGCGCUGCUUUCUUCCUGGUCACCUGGCUGACCGCAAUUUAUCCUUGGGACUCAGGGUAUCUGUCUCUUGCUCUCUACCCCUCCCCCCAAAUCCCCAAUCUAUACUAAAUGCUGCUCCCUUGAAGUGUCUACACCACCCUAUACUGUAAUGUAGCACAUUGCACACUGCACUGCAUUGGAUAGCUUAUCUGGCUAACUCCUUUACUACAGAAAGGGACCACCACAUCUGUCUGGUUUCCUGUUGUAUCUCCAGGCUGAGUAGUGCUAGACUGUCAUUGCUCAAUAAAGGUGAAAUAAGUGGCUGAAAAUGACUUGGCAAUUGUGGAAGGAGAAAGCUCCCCAGAACCCUUCAGCUAUAUAGAGAUUGUUGCUCUUGAAGCCCCUCCUCUCCUAGCCCAUAGCAGGUGAUCAGCAAAUAUUUGUUGAUUGACCGAAUGAAUCUGAUGAAGAGGAGUCUGAGCAAUUAGUGACAGGGAGCUUUGGGAAUCUGGCAGUGCCUCAGUUGCGGGUUGGAGGAGUAGGAGGAACUAGGGGCAGUGGGACGGUUAUGGGUGUGAGUGUCUGAUCCCAUCUCUGAGUUGCUAACAGGCCAUCUUUUAUUUGGUUUUUGUGAGUUUCUGUUUUCUAAGUGGAACCUAAAUGUCAGUUAUGUAGGCAAAGAACAAAAUAAUUCUCUAGCUGCUAUUUCUUUUCCAGCUGGCUUUAUACCUACCAUUAGAGACAGAUGAAAGAGACCUAUGGAAGGCAGACCUUACCUGGUUUUACAUGCACAUGUGUACCUGUGUGUGUGUGCCUGAGUGUGUGCACACACACUCAUGUGUGUCUCUCUGGGGACUGGGGAGAGGUUCUGUUUUGCCACCAGCCUCUCUUUGAAAGGCAUUGCUGUCAUCACAGUGAAACAUGUGGCAUCAAAGCAGCAGCAGCAAUUAUGCCACCAUUUGGAUGUCUGUGCUAUGGCAGCAUCUGCUGAUGCUUUGAGACUCUUCUGCCAGGAUUUCGCCGCCAAACCAUCUGAACCAUAUGUUCUCAUCAGCAGGAAUACCAGCAUCCCAAGUCUUUCAGGGGUGAGGCAUCAUAGAUCAAUGACCGACAUCUCGAUCUGGAUAAGCACAGCUUGUGUUUGGCUUAGAUAGCGGAGGGGAGGGGAUGGGAUGUUUUGCAAUUUUGAUUUUUGAAACAAAGGUAUUAAAAAUAAUGUGGAAUUUACUUAUGAUCCACAAUAAUUGGCAGUGUAAUUAAUGGAUUAAUUAAUUACGAGUGCAGUAUUUUUCCAAGACCUAAUCUACUGGCUCGUUAGUGAGAAGCAUCAUUAAGCAGAAUAGCAUGAAGGGCUUCACUCAGAAGCAGUUGUUUUUGUAAGUGGCACUAGAGUUUCUUUAACUUCUGGUCAGGGAGGGUCUCACUUUCUGUUGACACUAACAUGGGGAUUUUAUAUGCUACUGACUUGUUAUGUUGUAAUAUCUCAAGAAUUGCUCUUGAUUGCUUUCUAAUUGUUACAGAUGUACGUGUUCUAUUAUCUAUCCCUCUUUCUCCUAAAGAAGAGAGAUGCUUGUCAAGGGUGGGGACUGCAUCUGCUAUUCCUUUCCACUCCUAGAAACCCACCACAGCACUGGACAUGUAGGAGGUGCUCAGUAAUUCACUCAAGGAAAGAAUAACAUUGGCAAGUAAGACUUAUUUAGGAGGCACUAUAGUGUGGUUAAGUCACUGAUAGAUUAUAAAAAUUAAAACUUUUUAGGCCUGGCACAGCGGCUCACACCUGUAAUCUCAGUACUUUGGGAGGCCAAUGCAGGCAGAUCGCUUGAGCCCAGCAGUUAGAGACCAGCCUGGGCAACAUGGAAAAACCCUGUCUCUACAAAAAGUACAAAAACAAUUAGCUGAGGGUGGUGGCAUGCACCUGUAGGUGGAAGGAUUGCUCAAGCCUGGGAAUUGGAGGCUGCAGAGAGCCGAGGUUGUGCCACUGUGCUCCAGCCUAUGCUGGAAAGAAAGAAAGAAAAGAAAAAAAUUAAAAGUGGGAAAAAUUAAAACUGCUGGUUAUUUCCACCACCAGUUAGAAAUAACCAUUCUUGUUAUUUUGGGGCAACAAGCAAGAGGCAGUUUUGCUAUCUAGCAUGAAAUCACAGCUCUGUCACUGCUCAGCUGUGGGAUUUGGGCAAAUUCCUUGAUCUCUUGGUAUCUCAGUUUCCUGAGAUACAAAAAAAGAAAAAAAUAAAACUCUAUCAAAAAACUCUGUAUCUUAUUUAUAUAUAUAACAAAAAUUUAAAGGAAAAAACUCUCAUUUUAAAAUUGAAUCUACAGUCUUUCCAUUUUCUUGGACAAUUUAAAAUUAAUAGGAAAAAAUUUCUUAUUAUAGAUGCCAUAGAAUAUUCGUACUUACCAGUUAUACAGAUGAAGGCUAUUGGAGUCUUUAAAACUGGUAAAAGUUUCUAGUUCUUUUCCUACACUGCCUAACUUUUAAAAUUAAAGCACAUUAAAUGUAUCCUCAGAAUUCAGUUCCCAUUAAGGCAGGGAUGUCUGUUUUGUUUUCUGCCACACCCAUUGGCUAGGAGAGUAACUGGUAUAUAGUAGGUGUUGAAUAUUUGCUGAAUGAAUGAAUGAAUCCAAGGUCCUUUCCAGCCCAUUUGAGAGUGAGUAGUAUAAAAUAACCAUUUUCCUGCUUAAUAACAUUAGCUAAAAUAUUUUCAGGAGUACUAAAGACAUUUUCCUACAAUUUUUCCAGACAUAUUCUCUUUUGGUCCUUUACCAAUUUCUCACUUUGUCUUCCUGUAAUGCUGAACGACUUGAGUUUAAAUAGGUACUUGAAUUGAUUGACAGUAUUGACAUUGUUCAGCACUUAAGAGUCUCACCUAUCAUAUAUAGUGGGUGCUCAUUAAGUAUUUGUAGGAACAGUGCAGCUUGUCUGAUUACCUAUCAGGUCUCCUCUGUACAUGGCCACCUUUUUGCUCAUUUGUAUUUAUAAGCCAAGGCUGUAUGCAAUUAUGCCCAGGUCUUUCAUACCAGCCUCAUCUCUUACCAUGCCUGUCGAGAGUUCAGCACUACAGCCUCAUCACAGUUCUCUCUGUUCUACAAAGAUGCCCUUUUUUGCAUGCCUUCUUUUUCUUCCUUGCUUUGCAUCCCUGUGACCCAGAUUCAGUGUCACUUUUUUUUUUUUUGAGAUGGAGUCUCGCUCUGUCACCCAGGCCAGAGUGCAGUGGCACAAUCUCAGAUCACUGCAAUCUCCGCCUCCCAGUUUCAAGCUAUUCUCCUGCUUCACCCUCCCGAGUAGCUGGGAUUACAGGAGGCUGCCAUCACACCUGACAAAUUUUUGUAUUUUUAAUAGAGACAGGGUUUCACCAUGUUGGCCAGGCUGGUCUCGAACUCCUGACCUCAGGUGAUCCUCCCACCUUGGCCUCCCAAAGUGCUGGGAUUACAGGCAUCAGCCACCACGCCCGGCCCAGUGUCACCAUUUUUGAUGUCUUCCUUGGGCAUCCUUGGCUCCUUUUUUCUCCUUCUAUGUUAAUAUUUAGCCACUUGUACUGCAGUAUAAAUUCAUUUGGGUGUCUUUCCCCUUAGGAGAAACUAGUGUUUUACCCUGUCUCCUCUCCCCUACAGCCAUUCCACUCUAACACCCAGUCAGUCAUGGGCACAUCCAGACCCUGUCAAUGUUUACAGAAGAAGAUAAUAGCUUCCUUCACCUACAAGCGUAGGAGUAAAUAGGUGUUACAUCUAAUAAAUCUGAAGGGAAUGGUGCACUUUCAUGAGCCAGGCAUUUUACAACUUUAAUGCUCAAAACUUUCUGAGAUGAAUAUGAUCAUGAAUCUACUUUGUUCUGAGGAAACAGACACUUGGAGCAGCUGAGUAUGGCGUUAAAGUGUAACUAGUCCCAAACCAGGAUUUGUUUACUUAUCUAAACCUUGGUAGCUCUGCUUUCCUGGCUGCCUCGUUGUCUCAUAUACAGGUGUUUUAUCUAAGCCAGAGGGGCAGAAUUUACAAGUGCAUACACUUACUCUCAUACAGCCUGGCAAUGGAAGAUCCCGUCUACAUGUAUGGAUAAAAUCAUGGGGUGGUUUAUUGCCAGUAGGAAUUGGGUAUUGAGGUAUGUGGUAUGGAUCAGUGGCCUCUCCUGGCCCAUUGGUGGAGAACAUCCAGGGACCCCGUGGAAGUGCAAGGCUGAGAUGAGAAAUCACAGCUCAGAAGUCAGCCAUGGUGGGUCUCCCCAUCUCAUCAUACUGUUCUUAGUAACAGAAUAAGUCACUAAGUUGUGUUUUGUUGGCCCUUUGUUAUUUAUUUAUUUUUUUUUUGAGAUGGACUUUCAUUCUUGUUGCUCAAGCUGGAGUGUGGUGGCGCAGUCUUAGCUCACUGCAACCUCCACCCUCUGGGUUGAAGCGAUUCUCCUGCCUUAGCCUCCCAAGUAGCUGGGAUUACAGGCACCCACCACCACACCCAGCUAAUUUUUGUAUUUCUAGUAGAGACAGGGUUUCACCAUGUUGCCCAGGCUGGUCUUGAGCUCCUGACCUCUGGUAAUCCGUCUGCAUCGGCCUCCCAAAAUGCUGGGACUGCAGGCAUGAGCCACCACGCCUGGCCCUCUUUGUUACUUUCAUGGGCCACACACCUUUAUAAAUAAAUGAGAUUUGGUGAUAGUGCAGUUUUUAUCAAUUAAUGAUAGUACAAUCCUAUCUUACAGGAAUUUCAUGACACCUCACUUGUGCCACCAAUGUGUGCUACACUGUAGUGGGGCUAAAACUGUUAACAAAAUCCUUUUUGGUUUGGUCUUUAUAUAUAUAAAAAAAAUUAACUGGGAUUUUUGGGGGGAAUUGGGCACUAAGCAGUACAUUUGCCCAGAUGUUAAAAGUUAAUUUCUAAGGGAUGGGGAGAUUUUGUUUAUGGUAUGGGAAGGAAGCUUAAAGGGAAUUAGUUUAAUUGUGUCAGAAUAUUAAGCAAUCUUCUGCCGUCUGCUGUCAAGCAGCGCAUGGGUCCCCUAAGGUUCGCUUUUCCAUUACUCUGACUUUCUCCCCAUCUAGAUGGAGUUCCCAAUAUCAUUAACAUGCCUCACAUAGUUUCUUUUGAAGCUUUGGCUGGGUUAAAUCGCUUUUACUUAUGCAAAGUGGAUUGACUAAAACCUUUUCCCCAAACACCUGCCAGCCCAGCUAUUUUUGUUUCCCCUUGCAAUGGACUCAUAGCAAGUCUCACGCAUGCAUCACCAGAUCACCAGCUACUCCGUUUAAUUGUGCUGCUCUUUCCACUCAUCCUCAGAGAGAAGCUCGCUUUUUCCAGAAACUGCCUUCCAUCCCCCGCUUGCGAACACGCCACCUCUUCUCCUUCCCAGAAUUUUUUUUUUUUUUUUUUGCCUGCCUUCUGUCUUAAGGGGAUUGCCCAGAUAGAUAUCAGUGACACUCUAUUUGCCUGUGUUAUGGAAUACUGUUUUACAAACUUUUUUUGACUGUAAUCUACAGUAGGAAUUAGAGUUUACAUUAUGACCCAUAAUACACACAAAUACACACAUACACACAUACUUAUGUACACAAGGACCACCAUACCAAAAACUGGGGGGCUUCAACAACAGAAAUGUAUUGUCUGACAGUUCUGGAGGUAAGAAGUCUAAAAUCAAGGUGUUGAGAGGGCCACACCCUCUCCGACUGUUCUAAGGGAGAAUCCUUCCUUGUCUCUUGCUAGCUUCUGGUGGUUGCCAGCACUCCUUGGCUUUCCUUGGCUUAUGGAUGCGUUACUUCAGUCACAUGGCCAUCUUCUCCCCCUGUCUUCACAUUGUCUUCCCUCUGUGUGUGUCUGUCUCUGUCUAAAUGUCACCUUUUCACACCUGUAAUCCAAGCACUUUGGGAGGCUGAGGCAGAUGGAUCACCUGAGGUCAGGAGUUCAAGACCAGCCUGGCCAACAUGGCAUAACUCCGUCUCUACUAAAAGUACAAAAAUUAGCCAGGCAUGGUGGUGCAUGCCUGUAAUUCCAGCUACUUGGGAGGCUGAGGCAGGAGAAUUGCUUGAACCUGGUAGGCGGAGGUUGCAGUGAGCUGGGAUCAUGCCAUUGUACUCCAGCCUGGGCAAAAGAGUGUAACUCCAUCUCAAAAAAAAAAAAAAAAAAAAGUCAUCUUUUUAUAAGGACACAAGUCAUAUUGAAUUGGAGCCCACCCUAUUAAUUUUAUUUUUAACUUGAUUGCCUCUACUACAGACCCUAUUUCCACAUAAGGUCACAUUCUGACAUAUACUUGGGUGGGGGAUACCUACCCAGCUAGGGCUCCAACCUAUUGUGUUUAGGGAGACACAAUUCAACUUAUAAUAAAUAACUCACCUUAAAUAAUGCCUUCAUGUUCUGUUCUGUUCUAGUUUAUUCUAUUCCAUUCCAUUAUUUUGUUUAGACAUGUUUGUUGCUUUUCACUAACUUGAUUUCACAUUGAUUUGAAAAUACUGUUUGGGACAAUGUUCUGAGUAUGAAUCCUGGCUUCUCUGAUUUUCAGUUUCUUCACAUAAUAAACACAAUCUUACUUCAGAGGAUUGUAGUGAGAAUGAAGGAGAAAUAAGAGAAAGUACUUGGUAAGGUAAAUACAGUAAGGACAAGUAAAAAUGAGCAGGAAAUCAGGAGCAUUAAUCUGUUCAAUGAAACUACAUAGAAUCCUUUAUAUCUGAUAUGAUCAGGACCUUGAGUUGUUUGUUAACCAAAUAAUUCAGUGAAAGUGUGGGAUUAUUAGCAAUUACAUACACAUAUAUACACAUAUUAAGAUAUAAAUAGUUCAUGAGUUCUCCAGCCUUUUAAUGUAAGACUAAGAGUUUUGUGGUUUUGUUAAGAGUCCUGUGAUUGAUAUCAGACAUCAUGUUUCUUGCAUAAAGCCCAUAUCAUCUACUGACCAUUUCCUUUGGAGUUUCUUUAUAAUGGAGUGAAAAUUUCAAAACACAAAAUAACCUGAGGAUAGAAUUCGGACUAGAGAUUCCUUUACCAGUAGAGGAAAUAGUUAAUGAUAUUCCUGUAAAAUUUUAAGAUUCUUUUGUCCACAUCUAAUUUGAUGGGUGAUUUUUUAAAAAUUGAUUCUCAUUUAAUUUUCUUUCUGUGCACACUCAUAUGAAAUAUUUAAUUAAAUUAUAAACUGUUGUUAACAAGUAAAACUGGCAUACCUAGUUUGGGGAACAAACUUAGUUGAUUCUUGACACGCCCACAACUUGGUUGGUGGGAGCAGAAGAGGAAAUAUCCUACAGAAAUGCCUAUUUUCCAUGACCCUUUAUUCCAGCUAUGGGCAUGGGUUCAUAUUUUACAGAGGAAAUGGAGAGCAAUGGUUGAUUUGGUGAGCCCCUUAAGUGGCAGUGGAUUAAGGGAGCUUUUACCUUUUAACAACCACUUACGCAAAUCAGUUGUCAGCCACAGACAGCCUAGAUGUUUUAGGAGACCCUUGUGUAAACCUUCUGUAGCACUAAUAUCUGUGUAUUCACCAGGGAUCCAGGGUAUGUGACCAAAAGGCAGAUCUGGCCAACAGGAGGUGCAAUACAGACAGAGUUGAGUUGUUCACUAAGUGUUUUUCUUCCUGCCUGCUAUACUUCAAGAGUCUGUUGGUGUGGGCUUGGGAUGUAUAUAUUCUUAUUGAGGCACAGACUAUUGGCUUUCCUUGGCUCUUGCCCAGCACCUCUGAGAUUGUCAGGAAGGGAAAAUACACUUCGCAGUGGAGUAGCUUUCUCUAUUAAUGUGGGUGACUUUUUGCCUGUGUUAGUAUUUUUAUCUAGCAAAAUGAGUUGAAGCUGAACUUUUAAAAAGACAUAUGCAUAAUUUCAUCAGGUAUUUAUUAUUAAAUGUCAAGUGAUGAUAUAUUAACUUAGUGAUGUAAUGCCAAAGAAAUCCACAGAAGGCCUGAAGUCUGGCUGUAAACAGCUGAGAGCCAUUUUCUUUGUAACUGUCUUAGGUUUGGAUCACUUAUCCACAAAAUGUAUAGGCUUUGCUUUGAUUGUGUCCUUCUAAGUGUUUUCUCUGCAGAUCACAGUCCUCAAAAAAUAGACCUAAUCUUCAGAAGAUAAGGUUAAUGAGAAAUGGCGAGUAUUGUAAAUGGACCAAAUUAUGAAAGAAACCAAAAUAAAGACAAAGAUUUCUGAAGUUAAAAGUACUGUAGUUUGGCAAUAAAAGGUCAUAUCAUUGCAUAUUUGUGCAUUACUUACUUCCUGUCAGAUGCACAUUUUCUUAUAAACAGCGCUAUGAAGGAGGUACUUUCUAUAAAGUUUUUUCUCCAAAGAAACAGACACUUGGACAUUUAAAUACUAGAUAAGUAACAACAGGGUAAGCCACCUAAAUAGAAGGGAGAUAAAUAUCAAAAUUAAAUAUAAUACAUAAUAAAGUUAUGAAGUAAGUUGAUAUGAACAGCAAAUGAGAGGAAGCACAGAUCAAUAAUAUUCAAAAGAGUAUAUAAUUUCAUAAUUAAAAGAUUUAUAUAAGUAUGUACAGAUACUCACUAAGAGAAUACCAUAAAAACAAUCUGCUGGUAAUUUACAAAACGUAAAUGAAAUGGAAAAAUCCUGGAACAAAUAUAGAUUAUUAAACUUGACCUAAGAACAAAUAGAAAAUCUGAAAAGAUUAAAACCAUAAAGAAGGAGACACCUUGUUUCAACCGUGACAUAUAUGGAGUUUAGAAGUCCUUAUUGCCAUUCUUACAACAAGAGAAAAAUGAACUAACUGGAAAUUUACUUUUCUUGAGAUUUGGUUACCUGGAGCAGAAACCACCAGAUGCCAUAAGCUGGCGGGGAUACUUUACUAGUUAUUUUGAUGAAUUGCUGGAAACUGAGUGCAGGCUAGUGGGAGAUUAAUAAGCUCCUGGGAGUUGCUGUCUAAGGGGGUCUUCACACUUUCACAGGCUUUUCCCCCUGGAACUCUACCAGGUGCUCAGUAAGAGGACCCUCAUGGCUCUGGGACAGGGGCUUGAAGGGGAGUAGCCUUCGUGAAACCCUUCCUGACUCUUCUCCCUAACAAAGACCUCAUCUGUAGGAGGAAAGACUUCCCCACAGGGCAAUUCUGAAAACUUAUCCCAGCUGGGAGACGAGAAUUUGGUCCAAAGAAAUAAAAACCGUAGUCAACAGGGGAGCUUCAAGGUAAUAACCAGGAAAGGGACUAGAGCUGAAGGUUGGGCAGAAAUAAAGCUCUACCUGUGAAGAGGGACAGAAACACAUCUGAAAUUCACACCCUUGAAACACAGCCUCACUGAAAGACUGAGGCUUAAUUAAGAAGACUUGCUGUCAUAGAUAGCUCUUAUUAUUUUGAAAUAUGUCCCAUCAAUACCUAAUUUAUUGAGAGUUUUUGUACCCUAAAACUUAAAGUAUAAUAAAAAAAAAUAAUAAAGUAUAAUAUAGCACAUAAAAAAAAAAAAAAAAAGAAGACUUGCAACACCAUCCUCCCCUACACUCCACCACAAUGACAAGGCUCCAGUAAUAAUAAUAGGGGAGCCCAGCUGAAAAGCUGCAAGGAACAGACUCUCUGUGAGAAUCAGUACAAAGGUAAGCCCCAAAGCUAGGAGGAGAGGAACAAAGAAGCCUGUUAUAGGAAUUUGAAGACUUUGGCACCAGUAGCUACAAUAAACAUUAAACACAGCUCAUCUCAGAUUAAUAGAAAUUCUCACACCAAUGGCCUAUUUACUUCAGUGCCUAUUAUCCUAUAGAACAUGUCUGGCUUUCAACAAAAAUUUACAAGGCAUGCCAAAAGGCAAAGAAACAAAAAACAUCCAAAGACAUAAAGCAAGCUUCAGAACCAUACUCAGAUAUGACACAGAUUUUGCAAUUAUCAAGUAAUUUAAAAUAAUUAUGUUUAAUUUGUUAAAGGUUCUAAUGGAAAAAGUAUACAACAUGCAAGCCUAUAUAGGUAAUGUAAGCUGAGAUAUUAAAACUAAAAAAGAAUAAAAGUAAAUGAAAUUAAAAAUUAAAACCCACAAUAAUGGAAAUAAAGAAUGUUUUCAACAAGUUCAUAGGUAGAUAACACAACCACGGGAAAAAAUAUUGAUGAACUUGAAAAUAAGUUAAUAAACCUUCCAAAACUGAAAUGUAAACCAAGAAAGGAUGGGGAAAAAAGAGACAGAAAAUUCAAGAGCUGUGGGAAAGCAUAAAUGAUGGAUAAUGUUUUCAGGGUGAGUCUUUGUUUAUUUUCUGUCCUAGGGGAGAAAAUAAUUAGAGUAAUAUUACUCAAGAAUUCUCGGUCUGGGUGCAGUGGCUCACACCUGUGAUCCCAACACUUUGGGAGGCUGAGGCAGGCAGAUCUUUUGAUCUCAGGAGUUCCAGACCAGCCUAGGAAACAUGGUGAAACCCUGUCUCCACAAAAAAAUACAAAAAAAUUAGCUGGACAUGAUGAUGCGUGCCUGUAGUCCCAGCUACUUGGGAGGCUGAGGUGGGAGGAUCACUUGACCUGGGAGGUUGAGAUGGCAGAUAGCUGAGAUCACACCACAGCGCUCCAGCAUAGGUGACAGAGUGAGACCCCAUCUCAAAAAAAAAAAAAAAAAAACAGAAAGAAAGAAAAGAAAAAGAACUUUCCAACAUUAAUAAUAGACACAAAACCAUAAGUCCAAGAAGCUCAGGGAACACCAAGCAGAAUAAGUAUCAAAAACCAAAAAAAAAAAAAGGCCAGCACCAAAAACCCCAUAGCUAAACAUGUCAUAUUUAAAACUGCAGAAAACUAAAGGCAAAGAGAAAAAACCUUAAAGGAAGGUGGGGGCAAGGGACAUAAAGAAGUGGAAUUAGAAAUCAAAACUUGUCCACUCUCCCUUUCCACCUCCACCCAACCAUGCCUCCUUCACUAACAAGAUACCAGGCCCAUCAGUCUUACAGACAAGUUUAAUUGCAAACUUGGUAGUACCAUGGCCUCAGCUUACAUACCCAGAGCUUGAGCUCCUCUCCACCAUUCUGUCUCCAAAGAAAGAAAAAUGAAGAUGGAUAUGGGGGGACAAGUAGAUGUAAUGUCAACAAGAAGAAAAAGUCUGUGGUACCUGAGCAAGAUGUCUCUUUACAUUGAUUUUGUAUUUGAGGUUUUCUUUCUUCUUUUUACUUUACCCACUCUUCUAAGUUCCCACACUCAAUGUCUUCUUAAAUUGUUUAAUUCAAGGAUUUUUCACUUACUUGCUGUGUUUCCCUGAGCCAGUCUUAUUUGCUUAUUUUUCCCUAUAAAGGAAUGUUCUUUGUAACAUUGAGAAGGCUCCCAGAAACAGUGAGUUAAAUAAAAUUCAUUGCAGUAUGUGAUUAAGUGCCAGGUGGAUAUUGCAAAAUGUAAAUGUGAUAGGAGUUUAGAGAUGAGAGCUGGAGGUACAAUAUAGGAAGAUAUAAAAGAGUUAGAUUUGAGCUAGGCCUUAAAAUUUGUGGUUGCUAUUUACAGAGGUGGAGCUUAUUUCCAGGGGUGUUCUAGGCCAGGACAACUGCACUACUAAAGGCCCAGGGUGGGGGAAUGUGUAGGACAAUGCACUGGCUCAUUUGCUCCAUCAGCAGAGAAAAGUUUAUAUUAUGGAGUGUUACAAAACAAGUAUGGGGGCCGGGUGCAGUGGUUCACACCUGUAAUCCCAACACUUUGGGAGGACAAGGUGGGAGGAUCACGAGGUCAGGAGAUGGAGACCAUCCUGGCUAACAUGGUGAAACCCCGUCUCUAUGAAAAAUACAAAAUAUUAGCUGGACAUGGUGGUGGGUGCCUGUGGGCCCAGCUACUUGGGAUGCUGAGGAAGGAUAAUUGCUUGAACCUGGGAGGCGGAGGUUGCAUGAGCCAAGAUUGUGCCACUGCACUCCAGCCUGGGCCACAGAAGAAGAGUCCGUCAAAAAAACAAAAAAAACAAAAAAAAACAAAAAAAGAGAGAGAGAAAGAGAAAGAAAGGAGGGAGGGAGGGAAAAGUUGUAUAUCCUACCCUGAAGAGAAAAACAACUAAAGGUUUUGGAACUUUCAUCCAUAAACUCAUUCAUUAGUUCCUCCAUUCAACAAAUAUCAAGGAUCUGUAUAUGUCAGUCCCUACACUACCACAGAGAGUACAAAUAUUAAAAAGACAUUAUUCCUGCUUCCAAGGAGCUUUACUUCUAGAAAGACAGAUGUGUUGAUGGCUAAAACACACUGUGACAAGUGCUGUACUAGUGGAAUGUAUGCUGGGUACGGGAUAGCCAGAAGAAGGAUUGAUUAAUUCUGUCAGGUAGGAAGAAGAAAAUAAAAAGAACUGGGAGAAUGGAAUCCCAAGUAAACUACCCUGGAUAACCUAGUAGCUAAUCCACCUUUGUCAAAUUCUCAACAUUAUUUCUCAGUGAGUGUUCAUUUGACCUUUGAGGUCUUCUGCUUGUCUUUGGUCACAGCCUAACUCCAUUGUUUGAAGACCAUGUCACCAUGGUACAAUAUGGCAGGUGGAUGAAACUGACCUACUGGCAAUUUCCCAAGGUACCUCUUACUUCCCAUGAUGGUUAAUUUUAUGUGUCCACUUGCUUGGGCCAAAGGAUGCCCAGAUAGCUGGUAAAACAUUUCUACAUUUGUUUGUGAGGAUGCUUCUGAAUAGCAUUUGAUUCAGUAGACUCAGUAAAGAAUGCCCUCACCAUUGUGGGUGAGUAUCACUCAACCCAAUCUAUUGAGAGCUCAUGUAGAACAAAAAGGCAGAGGAAGGGCCAUUCACUCUCUUUGCCUGAGCUGGGACAUCUAUCUUCUCCUACCCUUAAACACAGAUGCUCCCGGUUCUUGGGCCUUCAGACUCAGAUGGUAACUUAUACCAUUGGCUUCCCUCGUUUGCAGACCUUUGGGUUUGGUAUGGAAUUAUACCACCGACUUUCCUGGGCCUCCAGCUUGCAGACAGAACAUCAUGAGACUUCUCAGCCCCCAUAAUCAUGCAAGCCAACUCCUCAUAAUAAAUCUCUUUCUGUAUGAACCCAGUUGGUUCAUUUUUUUCUGAAUAACACUGAUUAAUAUACCACCCUAUCCUGUGUUCUUCCUCAUGACCAUUUUCUCCCAAGCAGAUCUCUCCUGUUUGACAGAUGUUUCACUUUGGGGCAUGGAGGUUGCUUCACUCUGAUCAUGGAGGAUACUUUUCCAGUGCCUUCUCAUGGUGCUCUAGAGGAUCAUAGGCAUCAUGGAGGGUGCACCUGGGAGCAUCCUUACAACAGCAUCUGCUGCAAUAUGAAAUUCAUUGUGGCACAACCUUUCUCAAGCCCUUCUCCAAAGAGGUUUAUUAUUCAGCAAGAACUUGCUGUAAUAUGAUCUCAUUUAAUAAUCUUUCCAGUGGCUUCUAAGGAUGGCAUUCAAAUAAGGCUCCAGUUUAUACAUUAAGAUUCAUGCCUGUAAUCCCAGCACUUGGGGAGGCCAAGGCGGUAGGAUCACUUGAGCCCAAGAGUUUGAGACCAGCCUGGGCAACAUAACAAGACCCCAUCUCUACAAAAUAAAUUAGCUGGACAUGACGGCAUGUGCUUGUGGUCCCAGCUACUCAGGAGGCUGAAGUGGGAGGGUCACUUGGGACUAGGAGCUUGAAGCUGCAGUGAGCUGUGAUUACACCACUGCACUCUAGCCUGGGUGACAGAAGCAAGACCCCGUCUCACAAGAACAACAACAAUAAAAGAUUCAUUCAACAUUUGGAGGACUUUUAGAAAAAUAUGUAUUUGGAAAGGAGGCAAUAAGAAGUUAGGGAAUGAGAAUGGCUAGAAAUUUUGUGUCCUUAGGCAAUUUGUAGAAAUUUAAAAUUUUCAGUGAGCAGUGAAAUUCUGCUUUCUUUAGCAAAAUUGUUUUGAGCUUUCCCCCAACUUCCUAGUUAAAACUGUGAACAUUUUGAAACUGUGAAUAUUUCAAGACAUAUUCUUGAAAUUUGAAAUGUGUCUUGUUAUUGUAAAAGCUGAGAAGAAUCUUCAUUCCUUGGUUCAUAAGUAUGUGUGCUUGAUUGAUACAGUGUUCCUUAUAUAUCCUUCCUAGUUUCCACUAUGAGUUCAGUUUUUGUUUUUUAAUCUGGAAGCAGCAGAAUUUUUAAAAAGAGACUCUUUUACCAUUUGAGCCAUACUUUCUAUCACAUUGUCUUAACAUUCCUAUGGAGAUUGUCUUGCUCUCUGGGAAAUAAGCUAUUUUAGGAGUUAUUAGAGAACUAGAUAUACUUUAUUUCUGAUUCCUUGUGUUACCCCAGGCUCUGAUAAAACUGUAUUUUAGUAGCAGUUUAUACACUUCCUCUCUGAUUGUAUUUUUAGCACAUAAAGAGUCCUUAAAAAUUCCUUUAUAAGUAAGUGUUCCUUUCUUAAAUAAAUGCCUUAGUGCCUCCUAAACUGGAGUAACCAAGGGAACCAAGGUGUUCUCCUCUCCCUGAACUAAUCUGAUAUCUUUGCUUCGUGACCUGGAUUAAUUUGCUGCCACGAAAGCUGUGCAGAUGGUGGUAGACUUCCAGAAUUGCUUCAGAAGGAUGAGGUGACUCAGAUUCUUCCAGUGAGGUGCUCUGUGUGCACUUGGCCUGGAGGAACAUUUAGAUUUCAACUCCUUUCCAGGAACCAGUAACAGCAAAUCAUACUAGUUACCCAGUGUCCAGAUUGCAGGUAUCUCUGAAACCCAGGUGACUGAAAUCUCCCAAGGUGGAUCAGAUAAAGGCAUCCUAGCAGGCAAACACUAGACAGAUCCAGGUUUCUACCCUCUUCCUGGCCAGAUGAGGAAUCCACUCUACAGAGCAUGAAGGGUACUCUGUUUUUAUCAUGAUACUGUCAAGUCAGUGCCUUUUAAGGUUUUCUUCUUAAUAUCUUAGAAGGGUUGACCCAUAAAGACCACAACAGAAAGGGGCUGUGAGAGGCUAAACUUGUUUUAAGGUGAAACUCAAUUGUUCUAGCUGCCAGAUACCAACCUUGUGCUAUCUCUGCUUAGGCUUAAAGCCAGGUGAUUUUAUUAGAUAGGAAAAUUCUUUAAGGAGGUACUACAAGAGGGUAGUGGGGGCAAACUAUGUUAACAAGAGAAAGCCAGGGAGAUGGAGAUUGACUUUGAACAGUUACGGGAUAUUUUUGAGAGAAUGGGUUUAUUUUAUUCCCCAUUGUGAUGGAGGCUCUGGUAUGCUAAAGGCUGGAGCUGCAGUAGUGAGGGGGAAGGCAAGCACAGUUCUUGAAGAGAUUCUUAGAAUUAUGCCUUUUCACUUCAUACAUCUCUUAAACACCGACAACACUGACUACAACAUAGUAAGUGUUCUAUAAAUAUUUGUUGAGGGGUAACAUGAAUAAAUAUUAAGAAUGAAUUUUCUAAGCUUUUCAGCACUUGUACCUUUGCUUCAGUUCAUGCAUUUACUGUAGUUUGCCUGUGUAACUUUGGUUUGAUUUGAGAGGAAAUGCCCUUGAUUACAUAAAUGUAACUAGUCAAGACUGAUCAGACUGAAAUCUAAUGUAGGCGCCUAAUUUAAUGAGGAGAGAAAAAAUUACCCAAACAAGAGCAUGUGUAAUUAUGCUAAAUUUCAUGACUUUGGGGUCAUAAAUGGAUUUUUCUUGAUGUUCAUCUGACACGAAUUAAUUCCAGUUGUUGCUGACUAUUAAGCAGCGGCUUGUAGGGUCCUUUAUAAUAAGAGGACAUUAAUUCCUGUUAAAUUAUGAUGAGCCUCCUGCAGCAUCAUACAUUUCAUUCAUAUGGAUGUCACUAAUAAGGAGACAAUAAAAGACGAGGAGGAUCAAAAGGAAGCUUUUGCUGCAGAAAUUGAUGGGGAAUGAACCUUCCCAGCCCGUGAGGCAAAGUGGUGGCAAAGAGCUUUAAAAUGGAUGUGUCAGUCAGCUGGGCUGCUGUAACAGAAUACCACAGAAUGUGUGGCUUAAACAACAAACCUUUAUUUUCUCAUCAUUCUAGAGGCUGGAGAGUUCAAGAUAAAGAUUCCAGCAGUGUUCAGUUUCUGGUGAGGGCUCUCCUUCUGGCUGCUAGAUGGCUGCUUUGUCCCCAUGUGGCCUUUCCACUGAUCACAUGCGAAGACCAGCAUGAGAGAUCUGAGGUGUCUCUUUUCCUAAGGACACUAAUCCUAUCAGACCAAGACCCCACUCUUAUGACCUCAUGUAACCUUAACUACCUCCUCAUAAUUCCAAAUGUAGCCACAAAGUGGGGUUAGGGCUUCAACAUAUGAGUUUGGCAGGGGUGUAGGGAGGGUAUCAUUUGGCCCAUAGCAGGGGGAUAGCUUCGUGUUUAAACUCCAGUUCUUUCUCCACUCAGCUUCUUGACUCUGGCCUGUUGCUUAGGCUCUCCGAGCCUUAGUUCCCCCACCUGAAGCGUGGGAGCAGUAAUCACAGCCUGGGUUGGAAGAUGACACUGAAUUAAAUAAGUGUAUGAAACACCUCACUUAAGGCAGGGCACAGAGUGAACACUCACCAAAUGCCAGCCCUCACUGGGAUUUUGUCCUUCUUUGCCUGUUCAGGCUGGGUUCCAGGUUUGCAAGGACAUUUCUGAUGUUGGGACUCCUCUUAGUGAUGAGUGGAUCAUAUUCUGGGAGAGCAGAAAAAUCUUCAGAAGCAUGGAUCAAAUAUGGAACAUGUGCCUAUGUGAAUAAGUGGUGAUGUUGAGAAAAUGAGAGGAUUAGAAAGCAUAUGAACUCCUAUGGAAAUUACGGCAUAGCGAUGCAAAGGAAGGCAUUUUUAAUGAUUUGAGUAAAUUAGAGAGUGACCUUGAUUCUGUUCUUUCAAAUUAUAGGAUUAGGUAAAGGGUUUGCUUUGAUGAGAAAAUAAGAUGGAAUAAUUUUCGGCAAAAGUUCGUUUUAAAAUUAUGCCCAUAUUUAAAUAUUUUUCUUUAAUAAUCCUGUAAACUAUUAAUGAAUUAAACAUUACGUAUAGAAGUGUUGUUUUUAUUUCUUCUGCUGCAAAUAAGUCUCAUGAGGAAAGACUAUACAUCUUCUCUGGGCUUUCUUCUCGUGAUAUUUAAAAUUAAGUUCCUCUAGCCAAGUGUUAUAUAUAAUUCUUAUUCAUGAUUUUAGCACAGAUGUUAAUAAAUGUCACCACAGUAUAUUUGCUUUCUUUGUUAACCUGAAUCAGUGAAGCUUUCGUGUGUGUGUGUGUUGUGUGUGUGUGUGUGUAUGUGUGUAUAUAAACACAUGAGUAGAGCCUGAACAGCAACACUUUUAAAGCGAUAAGCAUAUUUUUCUCCUUUUGUACUUGAGAAAAAAGAUGUCAUCCUGUGUCGUUCCAGCUGCAUUUCAAUACAUUUGUAAAUUUUCGUUAAAUAUGCUGCUUGUGCCCUGUGUAUUAAGCCCUCUAAUGAGCUAAUAUCAGCCCUCCACUACAGUUUAUCUGUGGAAUUUCCUCAGCUCAGCAAAUGCAUAAUCUUUCAUUCAUUCAUCCUGUAGAGCACUUGUCAGUUGGUGCUAUUUAAUGUGACAGGAGGAGGAAAAAAAGCUGUGUUUUAAAGUGCUGUCAAAUUAUUAUCAUUUUUUUGGUCCCAGUCCUUGUAUUUGGCAUUCAAAAGAAACCCUUUAUUUUAGGGCAUUGAGCACGAAAUUAGAUCAGUUCCAUAAGAUAAUGACCAUAUUUCACAGUUAGAAGCCAGCAUGAUUGCAGGGUAGUGCUUACAGCUUAGAGUUGUUUCUUGUGGUUCCUAGAAGUGAACUUGUAGAUUUAUUUUUCUUUUGUGUUUUGCCAGCCUCAGACAGCAUUCUAUACCAGUGGUUGGGAAAACAGAACUUUAAUUUUUCUGAAUUCAGUGUAGUGGAGUGGACAUAAUCUUUUUGACUACUAAAGUGUCCUGAUGUGUUGGGUUUUUUUUUUGACUCAUUUGUAAGAAGAAGUAAAUAAGAAGUAUACAUUGUUCAAUCCUGGGAAAAGAAAAAAAUGCAUGAAAUGAACAAGGGUCAAAAAUGUCAGGAAUUUUAAAAAGAGUUUACUUUUUACAUUUCUUUUACCUGAGGGUGUUUUUAGGAUUAUGACUAUACCUGCUAUGUGUGUGGUGGUUGGUGAUUUUUUUUUAAAUCAUCAGAUGUGCUGCAGCUGUGGAAUUCUACAACUCCAGAAAUACUUUGUGCUAUUUUCUGCCCUGCCUUUCUCACCUGCAUGCUAUGUAGCCACUUAAAAGUUCACUUGAAUUUUUUUAUAGGUGUGUGUGUGUAUGUGUCUGUGUGUAUGUGUGUGCACGCGAGUGAGAGAGACGGAGAGAGAGAGAGAGACCAUAAAAAUAAAAUUCAAGUACAGUGGGGAGCGGGGAGAGAGAGUAAUUACUCUGGGACCAUUUUAGUUUGUGGAAGGGUGGAGCUUUAACCUUGCUUCUGAGACAUCUGAGAGAUUAUGAUGCGAUGCCCUAGUGCUGGACAUACAAUCUGACAAUGUCUUUGUUGAGUCAACUUGAAGCCCAAGAGACAUUCCCCAGUUUUUCCAUUAGGGGGUCCUUAUUUUUGCUGCUGUACAUUCUUGUGUCCUUUUUUUUUGCUUUUUGUUUUUAGCUAACAAGUAAGCUUAGUAGCUAAUGAGAAGAGGGAGUGAGUUUACGGAAUAAUUUUCCAGAUCAGUUUCUGGCCCAGACUUCAACUGCAACCAGCAUGAUUUCAGAUAUGCCAGGUCCUUAUUUGCUCAUUGACCUCCCUGGCCUCCCUGCCAGAACCAGGCAAAAUAAACAAUAAAUAAAAAAUA